GAGACCCGCUGGAAGUUGAAGGCGGGAUGAAGCCGGACGGUCGCCGUGGGGAGCGGAUCUGGGGCGCUCCCAGGAGACGGGCCUAGGACCUUCACCGUCCCUAUGUUCCGUCCUGGCCCACAGGGCAGCUCCAUGGAUAACAGGCCUGACUCUGGGUACCUAGAGCUCUGUCUUUGCCCACAGAGUGGAAGGCCAGUGCUUGGCAACACCAGGAAAUUCAGAGUUUCCUACAAGAAUGGGGAAAUCCUUGGAAAGGAGUUUCAUCUUGAGUCAAGGAAGAAGAAUCACAUCCUGACAAGGAUAAUCACUUUGUGCCCAAGCCCAGGGCCAUAAAGAAGAGUAGCAACAAUGUCCCCUGAUGCUGAUGCAUUCACAGAAUUUACAACAGACUGACUAUACAGGAGGCUGACAAAUGAACCCUGGCCCAUCCUUAUGGAGAAGCCCUGCAACAGACCCUGGGCCAGAACUGGGAGGAAAGGUCUCCUCAGGGAAAAUUGCCUUACCCAAGGAGACCAGGUUACUGUAGUUCUCCAGCAUCACUUCCUGGUACACGUGUCUCUGAGAAGGAC